rnacentral:lncRNA from 1 species
GAAUACGUCACACCAAACUUCCGAUUAGAGUGUUUAGGUUUAUUUCCUGUUUUCUGUACGUAGCGUGAUCAGAGCCCUGUUUAGCCUUCAUUGUGAGACAACUUGGGUUAACUUACUACACUAGGACGAUCUCGUAUGAUUGCGAGUCAAUCCCUUAGGUGUCGAUGAAGGCUUUAGGCGUUUGAUUGUGUUACAUUUGUUUUUCAUGUUUAUUUUGUUUCUUUUUUUUUAACUCGGUUAUUUUCUCCCUCCGGUGUGUUUGAUUUGUUUGCUAGUAUUGUGUAUGCAAGGUCACAGAAGCUUGAAGAGAAUGUUAGCACCUUACUACGACAACAUCCACCGGCCUCGAGAGGUCUUGUCUAGCUUGGAGGAGGAGUCCGAGUUCAGUUUGAGAGACGUUGUGGAAACGGUGACUCAAGAGCAAGUCUGUGAGGAGAAACUUGAGUCAAACUCCACUCUGGAGGUCUUUGAGGAUUCAAACUUUGUCC